UACAGAGGGGGCAAGCGUUAUUCGGAAUUAUUGGGCGUAAAGGGCGCGUAGGCGGCUUUUCAAGUGACGGGUGAAAGCCCUCGGCUUAACCGAGGAACUGCCUGUCAGACUGGAAGGCUUGAGACCGGGAGAGGUGAGUGGAAUUCCCAGUGUAGCGGUGAAAUGCGUAGAUAUUGGGAGGAACACCAGUGGCGAAGGCGGCUCACUGGACCGGAACUGACGCUGAGGCGCGAAAGCGUGGGUAGCAAACAGG
rnacentral:rRNA from 1 species